rnacentral:lncRNA from 1 species
CAAUCCUAAACGCCAACCGCCAUCUUCCUCAAAAUAGGUAUAACUUUUGUUUUUCCAAAUCUCACACAUCAUGUGGUACUAUUAUUCUCUUCCAUCUAUGGAAUCAGAUCUUGCUCAGACAGGUUUUAAGUUUAAGGUUGUUUUUGGUACCUAGGAUUACGAUGUUUAACUACUAGAUCUUAAAUCACCAACCAACCAAUAUCUU